GAAGUGCGAUAAGCAAUGCGAAUUGCAGAAUUCCGCGAAUCAUCAGAUCUUUGAACGCAAAUGGCGCCAGAGGGAUAUCCUUCCGGCAUGUCUGUUUCAGUGUCUGAGAGGUUUCACCACUAUCUUAAUGUGAUUGAUGAAUGAGCUACUCCUAGAGCAGCUUAACCUCAUCUCUCAUGAAAGAUGCUCGAGUGGAUCUUUUGGUCCAAUGAAGUGGUCACAUCACUCGCAUGUGAUUUCAUUGGGAUCACCAAAUUAUCCGCAUGCUCGAGGUACACUCUCUCUUUUUGGGUAACACCAAAAAGACACUCCACACCCUGCAUCUGAGACAGGCAAGAUCACCCGCUGAACUUAA
rnacentral:misc_RNA from 1 species